rnacentral:rRNA from 1 species
UACGGAGGGGGCUAGCGUUGUUCGGAAUUACUGGGCGUAAAGCGCACGUAGGCGGCUUUGUAAGUUAGAGGUGAAAGCCCGGAGCUCAACUCCGGAAUUGCCUUUAAGACUGCAUCGCUUGAACGUCGGAGAGGUAUGUGGAAUUCCGAGUGUAGAGGUGAAAUUCGUAGAUAUUCGGAAGAACACCAGUGGCGAAGGCGACAUACUGGACGACUGUUGACGCUGAGGUGCGAAAGCGUGGGGAGCAAAC